rnacentral:lncRNA from 1 species
CUGUAUACCACAUGUGUGCAGUACCUGCCUAGGCCGUAAGAGGAUGUCAGGUCCCCUGAAUCUGAAGCUACAGGUGGUUCUGAGCCACUAUGUGGGUGCUAAGUAUCAAACCUGGGCCCUCUGGAAAAGCAGUCAGUGCUCUUAAGCCAUUUCUCUGUCCCCCAAGCAUGUGGUUUAUGUUUUAUUUUUAUUAUUCUGUUUUAUGUAUAUGGUAUUUUGCCUGCAUGUAUGUAUGGUAUCCAGAGAGGCCAGAAGAGGCAUUGAAUCUCCUGGAACAGGCGAUUGUGAGCUACCAUGUAGAUGCUGAAAACUGAACCCAGGCCCUCUGAAAGAGCAGCCAGCUAUCUCUCCACAGCCCCCAGCUAUGUUUUUUUGUUAUUGUGAUUUGGUGUUUUUCCUCCUUUGAAACAGGGUCUAUCUUAACUUUGGCUUAAUAGAACUCACUGUGUAGAGCAAGCUGGCCUCUGCCUCCCAAGCUCUAGAAUUAAAGGUGUGUGCCACCACACCCAAAUGAACAUGUAAGUUUUAAAGCAAGUGGUGAUUGGUUUCUCUGGAUUCUGUGAGUAAUACUCAGCUCAGAGAAGCUCAUUACACAUUGCUUUGAAUUUACAGGUUUUCUGAGAGACUCCCUCUUGAGGUUUUAACUCUGCCCAGCAGUUUUCUCUGUUCUAGACUUUGUAGCAGAUUUGGGAGUGGCUUCAGAAUUUAGGCUUCAUUCAGAUUAGGAAGCCAUGGUUUCACAGUUCAAAACUAUGGCCAGUUAAGUUUUGCUGAGCUAUGAUAAAGACAUGUUUUUAGUGUUCACGCACUCUCCCUAUCUCCCGCUUCUACAUUAUGAGUCACUGCUAAGACCUCCAUUGGAGGGAGUUGGAAGAAGGGAAGUUUAUAGACUAGUGCUGCUUCACUGAGGCAGAGGGCUCUGAGAUGUGGCAUUGGUGGCAAGGGUGAGAUUGUUGGUGUAAGUUAAGACUUUUUUACUUACAGGUUUAUUUAUACAUUUUUCACUAUGUAUAAUUGUUUGUUUUUGUUAGCUUUUUAAAAAAGGAAACUUAAAGAACUUUAAUAAAGGAAACAAAAAGCUUCUGGUCUGAGAUUAAUGAGCUCUAAACACCUUCAUAUUGUCCUGGCACUGCAUUUGCAGUGAUGCUUAAAGUCUUAGCGUUCAAGGCUGCCACUUUCAGAGGGGUUGGUGUAUGCCAUUGUGUGUGUUUUCAUGGUGUGUGUCUGUGGCAGUUUCUGUGGAAAAGAGCAGGGAUGGAUCCCCACAAUGCAUUGAGCACCCUAUGCACACACUGUUUAGUUAGUAAAGGACUGUCCUUAGAGUGACUACUGCCAAAGUCAGGUCUGUUGGUACCCUGGGCCCUUGUGUUAGGUUCUGCUUAGUUGAGGUGAUUAAAACAAACAAACAAACAAACAAACAAACAAACCCCCAUAAAUAUGGAGACACAGGCCUUUGCUCCUAUUACUCAAGAAUCAGGUAGAUCUCUGAGUUCAAGGCCAGCCUGGUCUACAUAGCAAGUUCCAGUUAGCCAGAACUAUAAAGUAAGACCUUGUUUUAUAAACAAAACC